GACGAACGCUGGCGGCGUGCUUAACACAUGCAAGUCGAGCGGUAAGGCCCUUUCGGGGGUACGACGAGCGGCGAACGGGUGAGUAACACGUGGGUGACCUGCCUUUAGCUCUGGGAUAAGCCUGGGAAACCGGGUCUAAUACCGGAUAUGACUCCGCGGCGCAUGUUGUGGGGUGGAAAGCCUUGUGCGGCUGGAGAUGGGCCCGCGGCCUAUCAGCUUGGUUGGUGGGGUGAUGGCCUACCAAGGCGACGACGGGUAGCCGGCCUGAGAGGGCGACCGGCCACACUGGGACUGAGACACGGCCCAGACUCCUACGGGAGGCAGCAGUGGGGAAUCUUGCGCAAUGGGCGAAAGCCUGACGCAGCGACGCCGCGUGAGGGAUGACGGCCU
rnacentral:rRNA from 1 species